GACGAACGCUGGCGGCGUGCUUAACACAUGCAAGUCGAACGGAAAGGCCCUGCUUUUGUGGGGUGCUCGAGUGGCGAACGGGUGAGUAACACGUGAGUAACCUGCCCUUGACUUUGGGAUAACUUCAGGAAACUGGGGCUAAUACCGGAUAGGAGCUCCUGCUGCAUGGUGGGGGUUGGAAAGUUUCGGCGGUUGGGGAUGGACUCGCGGCUUAUCAGCUUGUUGGUGGGGGAGUGGCUUACCAAGGCUUUGACGGGUAGCCGGCCUGAGAGGGUGACCGGCCACAUUGGGCCUGAGAUACGGCCCAGACUCCUACGGGCGGCAGCAGUGGGGAAUAUUGCCCAAUGGGCGGACGCCUGAUGCAGCAACGCCGCGUGCGGGAUGACGGCCUUCGGGUUGUAAACCGCUUUCGCCUGUGACGAAGCGUGAGUGACGGUAAUGGGUAAAGAAGCACCGGCUAACUACGUG
rnacentral:rRNA from 1 species